UACGAAGGGGGCUAGCGUUGCUCGGAAUCACUGGGCGUAAAGGGUGCGUAGGCGGGUCUUUAAGUCAGGGGUGAAAUCCUGGAGCUCAACUCCAGAACUGCCUUUGAUACUGAAGAUCUUGAGUUCGGGAGAGGUGAGUGGAACUGCGAGUGUAGAGGUGAAAUUCGUAGAUAUUCGGAAGAACACCAGUGGCGAAGGCGGCUCACUGGUCCGGUACUGACGCUGAGGCACGAAAGCGUGGGGAGCAAACAGG
rnacentral:rRNA from 1 species